rnacentral:rRNA from 1 species
AACGAACGCUGGCGGCAUGCCUUACACAUGCAAGUCGAACGGCAGCACGGGAGUAAUCCUGGUGGCGAGUGGCGAACGGGUGAGUAAAGUAUCGGAACGUGCCCAGUCGUGGGGGAUAACGUAGCGAAAGUUACGCUAAUACCGCAUACGAUCUAUGGAUGAAAGCGGGGGAUCGCAAGACCUCGCGCGAUUGGAGCGGCCGAUAUCAGAUUAGGUAGUUGGUGGGGUAAAGGCUCACCAAGCCGACGAUCUGUAGCUGGUCUGAGAGGACGACCAGCCACACUGGGACUGAGACACGGCCCAGACUCCUACGGGAGGCAGCAGUGGGGAAUUUUGGACAAUGGGCGAAAGCCUGAUCCAGCCAUGCCGCGUGCAGGAUGAAGGCCUUCGGGUUGUAAACUGCUUUUGUACGGAACGAAAAGGUUUGGCCUAAUAAGCUGAGCUCAUGACGGUACCGUAAGAAUAAGCACCGGCUAACUACGUGCCAGCCGCCGCCGUAA